rnacentral:rRNA from 1 species
UACGGAGGGUGCAAGCGUUAUCCGGAUUUACUGGGUUUAAAGGGUGCGCAGGCGGAUAUGUAAGUCAGUGGUGAAAUCUCUAGGCUUAACCUGGAAAUUGCCGUUGAUACUAUAUAUCUUGAAUGCUGUGGAGGUAAGCGGAAUAUGUCAUGUAGCGGUGAAAUGCUUAGAUAUGACAUAGAACACCUAUUGCGAAGCAGCUUACUACGCAGAUAUUGACGCUCAUGCACGAAAGCGUGGGGAUCAAACAGG